rnacentral:rRNA from 1 species
UACAGAGGUGGCAAGCGUUGUUCGGACUUACUGGGCGUAAAGGGCGCGUAGGCGGUCUGCCAAGUCCCGUGUGAAAGCCCCCGGCUCAACCGGGGAACGGCGCGGGAAACUAGCAGGCUUGAGUUCGGGAGAGGGAAGCGGAAUUCCGGGUGUAGCGGUGAAAUGCGCAGAUAUCCGGAGGAACACCGGUGGCGAAGGCGGCUUCCUGGACCGACACUGACGCUGAGGCGCGAAAGCUAGGGGAGCAAACGGG